rnacentral:rRNA from 1 species
UACGUAGGGUGCGAGCGUUGUCCGGAAUUACUGGGCGUAAAGCGCUCGUAGGUGGCUUGUCGCGUCUGCCGUGAAAGCCCAUGGCUUAACUGUGGGUCUGCGGUGGAUACGGGCUGGCUAGAGGUAGGUAGGGGCAGGCGGAAUUCCUGGUGUAGCGGUGAAAUGCGCAGAUAUCAGGAGGAACACCGGUGGCGAAGGCGGCUUGCUGGGCCUUACCUGACGCUGAGGAGCGAAAGCGUGGGGAGCGAACAGG